UGCAGUCGAGCGAAUGAUGAGGAGCUUGCUCCUCUGAUUUAGCGGCGGACGGGUGAGUAACACGUGGGUAAUCUGCCUGUAAGACGGGGAUAACUCCGGGAAACCGGGGCUAAUACCGGAUAACAAAAGGAAAUGCAUGUUUCCUUUUUGAAAGUCGGUUUCGGCUGACACUUACAGAUGAGCCCGCGGCGCAUUAGCUAGUUGGUGAGGUAACGGCUCACCAAGGCGACGAUGCGUAGCCGACCUGAGAGGGUGAUCGGCCACACUGGGACUGAGACACGGCCCAGACUCCUACGGGAGGCAGCAGUAGGGAAUCUUCGGCAAUGGGCGAAAGCCUGACCGAGCAACGCCGCGUGAGCGAUGAAGGCCUUCGGGUCGUAAAGCUCUGUUGUUAGAGAAGAACAAGUACGAGAGUAACUGCUCGUACCUUGACGGUACCUAACCAGAAAGCCACGGCUAACUACGUGCCAGCAGCCGCGGUAAUACGUAGGUGGCAAGCGUUAUCCGGAAUUAUUGGGCGUAAAGCGCGCGCAGGCGGUCUCUUAAGUCUGAUGUGAAAGCCCACGGCUCAACCGUGGAGGGUCAUUGGAAACUGGGAGACUUGAGUGCAGGAGAGAAAAGUGGAAUUCCACGUGUAGCGGUGAAAUGCGUAGAGAUGUGGAGGAACACCAGUGGCGAAGGCGGCUUUUUGGCCUGUAACUGACGCUGAGGCGCGAAAGCGUGGGGAGCAAACAGGAUUAGAUACCCUGGUAGUCCACGCCGUAAACGAUGAGUGCUAGUGUUGGGGGGUUCCACCCUCAGUGCUGAAGUUAACACAUUAAGCACUCCGCCUGGGGAGUACGACCGCAAGGUUGAAACUCAAAGGAAUUGACGGGGGCCCGCACAAGCAGUGGAGCAUGUGGUUUAAUUCGAAGCAACGCGAAGAACCUUACCA
rnacentral:rRNA from 1 species